UGUCUCAUAGCUAUGCAGCGGACCUG
rnacentral:piRNA from 1 species